rnacentral:lncRNA from 1 species
GCCGGUGAGAUCUUUCCUUAAAGGCCUUCUGCAUGGGUUUCGGGGAGUCGCGUGGAGGGGUGCUUGCUGCUGCCCCCACCAUGCAGCCCUGGAGCCCUGAGGCUAGGGUGUGCUCUGCGGGGAGGCAGACCUCUCCUGGGGUGUAGACAGGGCAGGGCCCAGCAGGGGUGGACAGAGUGUCCCCGACCUUCUGGGUGCCACUGGGUGCCAGUUCCUGGGUCAGCUUUGAUUCUGGACAAGUGUCCUCAGGCUUCCCGGUACCUCUGACUGAGGAGAGUCACUUGCUGAGGAAAGGAAGUUUUCUCUGGUCCUUUGGUCGCCCUCGAAGGCUCUCCAGCACCUCAGUGGCUGCCCAAGGGCUCUCAGCGGCUGUGGAGCAGAUGAUGCUUCUCAAAUAGCCGGAAGCAAACGCCUUGCUGAACCUGGGUGGACGCCCCAGAUGCUGGCCGCGGGGCUGAUGACGGCAGGCUGGGGGUGUCCAGGACAGGGGAGGCAAGGGGGUGACAAGAGGGUGACUCAGGUGUUGAGUCCAAGGCUCCCAGGAUGGUCUUCAUGAGACAUUAGAGACCGUGACCAUCGACGUGUGAGGAAGGAAUCAAGUGGGCACCUGCAUUUCUGCUCCCAGGUUGAUGAAAUUUUAAUGUUGUGUCAUUUCCUUUAGAUAUUUAAAUGAGAAACAAAAUGUCAGGGAGACAUUCUGGGUGGGUGACUUCUCUCCGCCAUUGCCGCUGUGGUUCCUGGCCCUGCCCCACCUCCUGGCCUCUGGAGGAGGAUCCGCUGACCAACAGCUGCCAGACGUGUGCCCAGUGGGGCACGCGCACACCCGGGCUUCCUCCCUCGGGCUUCCUUAAACCCAUCAGGCUGGUGACAAGGCCAGGCUCUGCCUGUGUGGGGCUUCGGGCAGAGUUCCCACUGGCCACCCCUUGCUGCCGACUGUGAACCUCUGACACGGCCUCUGUCACCACCGAGGGCCCAGCGUCAUCCAGCACUAGUCAUUAUACCAUUAGCUGCCGCCGUAUGUCGUCCAGGGUUCUUGGAUCUUGCUCCAUGCCCUCUUCUGCCCCGGAUCCCAUCUAGAUCUCACAUGACAUUCAGUCAUUGUGGGUCCCCACCCUGCCCUCAGCUGGGACAAUUUCUCAGAUGGCCUUUUUUUUUCUGGCCAUUUUGAGGAAUAUCCCCGGGUGGUUUGAAGUACGACCUUUGACCCCGGUGUCUGGUGUCUUUCCUCUGGUUAGAUUGGCUUCUGGGCUUUCAACAGAGACCACAGAACUGAGGUUUGGUCCUCGUUUCACUGGACCAAGUGUGUGUGGUGGGGCCAGGUCAUUUUCAUUGAGGAUUGUGGGUCUGGUCCCGAGCUGAGGUGGUGCUGGGGAGUUUCCUCCACCCUGAGGCAGCCCGCGGCCCCCCAUUUCCAUCCUGUGCUUGUGAGAGCAGACACUGUUGGUUAGUUUUCUGCGGCAAGACAAAAUACCCGAGGUGAUCAUUUUAUAAAGACAAAGGUUUCCUUUGGCUCAUGGUUAUUGAGGUUUCAGUCCAUGGUCUCCUGGCCCUGUGGCUUUGGGGGCUGAGGUGAGGCUGCUCCUCGUGGUGGCCGGCACCCUCUUCCUCACCCUCUUGCUUUGCCCUCCCUCUUCCUUCCCCUUCCUCUCCCAGGCCACCCUGGGCCAGCUGACCGUGCUGGUGCUGGGGAUGCCCGCGCAGCACCGCUCUCCCCGACGGCAGUGCCCAGCGGGGUUCCUUCCAGGCCCCCAAAGGGAGAUGCCUGCAUGGGGGUCAGUCUGCGCCUGGGGAACAGCCCCUGGGGCCGGCUAGGUCUCCCCGUGGCUUUGCCCCCUGCUUGGGGAAAUAACCUCAGCAGAGCCUAUGGCCUCCCCAGCCCCUGCCCAGCCUCUGCCCUGGAGGUCUGUGGAGGAGAAGAGCUGGUGAGGGGUGGGGAGAGCAGGUGAGGGGUCGGGAGAGCGCCUCCUCCUCCCCGGUGGGGUCCGGCCGGUUCCCCAGAGGUGGAGGGAGAAGACCACGCUGUCCAGGGCCCCCGGGGACCUGCUAGGCUAACCUGCCGCCUCCCCGGCUGGGCAGUUGGUUGGCUCAGUGGACAGCGGGGCAAGGUGAAGGCCCGGUCUUGUAGCUUCAGCGUGAACAGAUAGUGCACAGAUCGGUGCCUGGGCUUCGGGAAGGUGGAAGCUGUGAGUUUGCCCCCAGCCAAGGCCAAGGUCUCUGGAGCCGUCUUGCGGGGGCAGGCGCUCCCUCUAGCGGCCGGUCGUGGUACAGGCAUUAAACGCAGCCGCUGUGGGGAAGCGGGUCCGAGGCCGGAGGACCAGGCCUUUCUUGUUUCUCCUUGGUGGAGACAGGUGCAGGAGGAGCUGCGCACGUGGCUUCUUUCUCCUCCGGAGCCUGUUCCACUCCCUCAUGGCUUCCUUGACAAAGCGGCCCCUUUGCUCCCUAGUGUGUGUGGACAUUAGCCACCCAUCAAGUUCUAAGUGCAUUAUCAACGUUAAUCCGUUUAAUUCACUCAACAACCCUAUGAAGAAUGAGCCUCAUUUUGCAGAAGAAACAAAGGCACAGAGAAGUUAAGGAUCUUGCCCAAGAACACACAGGGAGUAGGCAGAGAAGCCCUACGUAAGUGAGAAGUGAGGUGCCAGGGCUGCAGGCUGGGGUCCUCCUCUUGUACCUGGGCCCUGAUAACAACUCUAACGAUGUCUGCCAGCUCCUUGUCAUGCCUAGAAUCCCUGCAGCCAAAGCCCUUUACUCCAUGUCCUUCCGCACAGUGGGCAGCCCAAGGACCAUCAUCAGCUCCUCUGUGCAGAGGGACACUCAGGCUCAGAGAGGGCCAGUGACCUACCCAGUGUGGCACAGCUGGCUGGAAGGCAGAACUGAAGGUCCAUCUCUGUUGCUGCACUUAACUGCUCUCUCCCAAGGGCUGGAGACAGGCCCCCUGCCCCUUCUAACCUGUAUUGUCCCCCUGAGGACCAGCUUCCUCUGCCCCGCACCCUCAUCUUCAUGCUGCCUAUUCUGAGGUCCCGUUCUGCCCUCUGCAAUGGCUCUUGUUUCACUCGGUGGCCCUUCUCUCUCGUCACACCCCGACUCUGACCCUGAUUUUCUCCGAGGCUGUGUUACCCCUCCCCUCUCCCAGCCCAGGGAGGAGCUCUCAGAACCACGGCACGUUUGGGGCUGAAGAUGGCAGGUGGCACAUGCGUCUUAGCCCCUCCCUCCUCCCUCUGUUCAGAAGAGGCGGCAGGUGACUGUAUUCAUGCCGAUUCCCAGGCUCCCAAGUCAAGGGGAUUGGCCUGGACUCAGGAAACGUGCAUCUUGCACAACUGUCUGAAGUGAUUCUGGUUCACAGUUUGAGAAACCAGGCCCCCACCUGGGUGGGGAUGGUCCUGGUGCGGAUCGGGACACAGUGCUGGCCUCAGGGGUGGGGUACUGGGGACAGCCUGGCCACAGACCUGCAGUUGCAGCAGAUCUCGGAGCUGGGAUGGGAGAGGGCUUGCAUGGCCAGGGGGCACCGGGAGUCCUAGAAGUCCUGUGGCCAUCAGCCGUGGCCUAAGUGGCCGUAUGGGCCAGUCUGCCGAGGUCGCCGGUUAGACCUGGUGGCUGACUUGGUCCACGUUCCCUGUGUUAACCUAAAGUGCUUUUGGCUCAGGGUUCAUGGCUCCUCCAUUUGCAAGGCAGAGUCAGGAGUCCUGAAUUCCCAGCUGAUAUUGCUGAUGAACAUUGAUAAGUUAAGGAUCAAUCAUGUGACCUAAUGUAAGUUUGAUCCCUGAGUAAGCUCUGGGAAAGGGACAGAUCAGGUGGCCUUGUCACCUCUCCAUUCUUUGUCAGGGUUCCUUGUGAUUGUUGGUGGGCCACGAAUUUGUCCCCGUGGGUGGCUUUGCAAUGCCACUGCCCCUUCUGAACCCACCCAGGUGAAGCCAGUCCAGGAUAGAAACAUCGAGAUGCUUUUGGAGCCUCUGAAUACAGCUCAGGCGGUGGAUGGUGGAGUAAAUCUUCCAUUAUCUGGGCACAAGCUCCGUGGAUAAGAUGGAAUCAUCUGGCGGCCGCCUUUUGCAGGGGAUUUUGUUGCCAUGGUGAUGGAAAACUGGGGACCAGGUUGAGAAUAUAUUGCGACACCAAGACUUGAAAACCUUCGUGGAAGUGGGACCUGUCUCUGAUUCCACGUUGGCCCCGGGGCGUGCCUGACUCUGGCUGCCGGGUGGGUGACAUAUGGGCAGUAAUGGCCCUACCUGGGCUUGGCCAGGUGGACUCUGGCUCCUUUAAAUGGCACCUUGAUGACCCCAACACGGGAGGGGGGUCCUGCCAGGUGCUGCCUCCACCCCUUCCUGUUUGCAGGUUUUAGCUUCCUGGCUCCUCCCACUUCUACCUGUAGUGGCUGUCCCCUCCUUGAACUUUCUGUAAGUAGAGAUUUUCUGCUUUGCCCAGAAAGGUAACCGGAAAUCCUCCCUGCCCCCACAGGUUGUGUCUGCACUGGCGCUGUCCUAGAUGUCCUGGGGGCUGCAGGCCUGAUGCCUGCGCUCAAGGAGAAAUAAUCUCAUAGGAAAAGUCGUGUUCAAAAAUAACUGCAAUGUACAGGCAAGGUACAAAUUCAGUCCCCAGGGAGGUUUAUUCUGUCUGGAGACGGAGAGGCCUCCUUUCAGGGCCAACUGCGGGAAGGUCACGAUCCAGGUGAUUUCAGCAAACGUUUAUUGAGCAUUCACGAGAGACCAGGUGCUAAUUCACCAAAAGUUCUCAGCACAGACCCCUUAGGCUGGCUACUGUCAGGGAAGAAGGAAGAAGAAACCCUCCUCAGAGAGUUUUCAGUUGAAAAGUAAACUGAAAAGAGUUCCUCAUUAUUUUGGACCUACCUGGGACCCCUACUCCUCCCUCCCUGUGUCUCCACUCUGCUCCCAAAGUCUGUCAAACAGGACGAAGAACCCAGGGUCCUGGGCCCUGAAGGGUGGACUUAGUGUCAGGUACCAGCAAGUGCGCCCCCACCCUGCAGUGGGACCCACCCCAGGAAGGCUGCAGAGCGUUUCCAUCAGCCUCUCGUUUCCUGUGUACUCUGUGCCCGGGGAUGCUUCAGUCUCUGUGGAGCCUGAUUCCAGCUCAGUUGGGUUUGGACUCCAUCAGUGAUGAUGAGAAUCACCGCAGAUGUACUGGGAACAGAUGGGGCUGACGUUGACUGAGCUCCUCUGCCUUGGUGUUCAAAGUGUAGUUUGUGUUAAAAAUGGAGCCCCUGCAGUCACCUGAGUGGUAAGAAGGUGAGUACUGAGAAUAUACUCAUUUAGAGACGAAAACCCUGAUGCUCAAUUGGGUUAGGUCACUGCUCAAAAUCAUACCUGAUGGUAGAGUCAGUUUUACUUGUUUUGUUGGAUACCAGGGGUUGAACCCAGGGGCACAUACUCACUAAGCCACAUCCCCAGCCCUUUUUUGUAUUAUUAUUAUUAUUAUUAUUAUUAUUAUUAUUGUGAGAGACAGAGUCCUGAUGAGUUGCUUAGGGCCUUGCUAAGUUGCUGAGGCUGGCUUUGAACUCACGAUCCUCCUGCCUCAGCCUUCCAGGCCACUGAGAUUACAGCGGCACACCACGGCACCUAGAGCCGGUUUUUUGUUAUUCGACAGCCUUGGUAAUGCUGCCAGUGAGGAGGACAGGUCUCCCCAUCCUGGCUCUUCCUGACUCUUCUGAGCACCUGGGUGACUUCAUGCUCUUUGCCCUGUAGAACAUGCUCCUCGAGGAGCAACAGCAAAACCUUAUCAGGUGCAGGACAUCAGACGGCCACCAUACUGGUUGUUUUUUUUUUUUCCCCUAAAGCCUGUCAUAAGAUUAUAAACCAUGGCUCACAUUUGUCUUUGUUUUCAUCAACUGGAAUACAGCUAAGAGGACACUGGGUUUUGCUGAUAGACAAGUGACCUGGAACCAUCCUGUGGAGGGGAGGCACUAUCUUUCUCUUGGGGGGUUUGUGUCUUUCUGCGGGGCUUAGCGGAGAGGGGCUGCAGCUUUCCCAUGGGCCAGAUGGCAGAGCCGCGGGGGAAUGAGUGGGCCCAGGUGUCAGGGGUCUGGAGCUGGGGUGGCGGAUGCAAAUCACAUUUAGCCAUAGUGAAAAUUCCCAGGUACAAGGUGGAGAAAGAGAGCAUUUAAAAUCCAGAAGUAGACAGAAAAUCGAAUCCCAUCUUGAUGUCUGAUCAAACCAUGUAAAUGAACACCCUCUCUGUGUUGGUCACUCUCAGUUCUUGUGGCUCUCUUGACAUGCGGGCAUUUCCUAGGGGUCACCACAUCAGUGGCCUCCUCCUUCUAGGAAAGAGCCCCCUCUUGGUGGUUCUGGGAAGGCAGAGAGCUUUGCGGUUCAUGUGGGGACAAGAUCUUAUUCAUGAUCAGCCUGGGGAGAGAGAAGGAGUCGAGGUGCCCAGGGGGACCCAGGAUCCACUCUUGGUACCUGCCUCACUAGUUUGUUCCUACCAUUUGCCCACCAUCUGUGGGCUUUGGUGGCAAAGCUGGAGGGGACGCUGCCCUGUGUGAAUGGGAAGGAGCUCUCAAUGGCUUGCUGACUGCACUCCUGCCGUUUCCCACGUGUCCUCGGGGUCCCCCGUGGUUGGCUCCCCUGCCUUCUCCGCCUUCUCCCUCAGGUGGACACUGGACUCUGGCUUUCCCCCGAGCUCUUGAGAGGAGGAGGCUCCUUUCUCUGCACCUCACAAGCCGAGGCCCAUUGAGCCUUCCCAUUUCCUCAAUGCCCACCUUGACCUUUCAGUGUCCUUGUCACGGGCUGACCUCUGGGUCACCCUGCAUGCAUCCUGGGCACUCUAGGCCCCCAGCUCACCUUUUUCUUCUCCAGGUCAACUGCAUCACCCCCUGGCCCCGUUGUUCUCUAGGUCCCCCUCCUCCAGGUUCUCCUCCCUCCUCCCUGUUCUCCCUCCUCCUCCCUGUUCUCCUCCCUCCUCCUCUCCUCCCUCCUCCCUGUUCUCCUCCCUCCUCCCUGUUCUCCUCCCUCCUCCCUGUUCUCUUCCCUCCUCCCUGCUCUCCUCCCUCCUUAGCCUCCAACACCACCUUCCCCGCCCAGGCUCAGCUGUGAUGUGCUUUCCAGUUCACUGAGAAGGUGGACCCCAGCCGCGGACGCCCCUGCCCGUGCAUCGGCCCUCCCUGCCUCCCUCCCAGAGCCGGUCAUGCCCUUCCUGGGCCCAUCCUGUUUGCCUCUGCCCUGCAGGGUCCUCCUCCUCCUCCGGCUUCUCCGGUUCCCCCCCGUUGCUGGCUCAUUCCCGUCAGCACACAAGGGGUGAUAACAGGGCCCAUCUUUCAGUUCAGGACCCUCCUUGGUGGCCCGCCUCCAGCAAGCGCUCUCCCCAGCGCUCUCCCCCCAGUACUGCUGGGACCUGCUGUCCCCCCCCCACGCCCCUCCGGGUCUCUCGGCAGCUCACCCCAAUACACGCUAUUCCUACGGCUUCCUGGAAACUUCUCUUGUCGAGCACCCAGUGACCUCGCUGUGACCCAUCCAGGGCCAUCUCUCAGUCCUGCCUCCUCCCACCCCCAGGCGAUGAGCCACCCCUCCUUGUCAAUUCUGCCCCUUUAGCCUCUCUCCCUCUGUCCCCUCCUCUCCAUCUCGGUUGCCCCUCACUGGUUCUGACCCUUUAUGCUGCCCUGUGGUAACCGUGUCCUAUCUACCUCCUCCCUGCGAAGCUGUUCUGUCCAACUAUGCCCUUCUCUCCCCCAGCCUCCACCCGAUGCCAGAAUGACCCAGGGUCUUCUCCUUCUUUCCCCAUAGGACGAUCAGCUUCUUUUUUGUUGUUGUCAGGGAUUGAACCCCGGGGUGCUUAACCACUGAGCCACAUCCCCAACCCCUUUCUAUAUUUUAUUAGAGACAGGGUCUCACCGAGUUGCUUAGGGCCUCGCUGAGGCUGGCUUGGAACUGUGAUCCUCCUGCCUCAGUCUCCCCAGUGCUGGGAUUAUAGGCACGUCUCACCGCACCCAGCUGAUCAGGAGUUUUUAAGCUCAUUUUAUUUUGCUUUGAUUUCAGACCACGCUACUGCGUACUCCUUCUCGAAACUCUCCUAACUUCCUUGUGUCUCUCCCUCAGACUGAAACCACAGACUUAAACAUUUCUGACAAGAAAAGGAAAAGAAAAAUCAGGAAGAAAGCCAAGUUUAACUGUAGCCAGUGCCCACGGACAUAGCAAAAUUGGCAUAGCUAGAACGGAUAAAGGAGAUUAGUGUCUCAUUCUUUAUCUAAAUGUUCAAGGUACAACUGGAAAGACACCUAUUACAUUUCUAACAGGUAAAUGAUCCUAGUAAUGUGUGUUAAAGUAGUAUAUUAACUUGAAGAACUAGAUAGAACUAGAUAGAUACAAUCCUUCAGUGCCUACGAGUCUCCAGCCCCUUUGCCCAGCAUACCAGGUUCUGUGAGCCGGCUCCGGGCUCCUGCUCAGCCUUGCCCCUCCCCUGCACCCCCUUGAGCUUCUCUCCCGGGCCCCCGGUCCUCCUGACUGGCCGCCUCCCCUGCCCACGGUGCUGUCUGCCUGGGGCGCUCUCUUCCCUGUACCCCUCCUCUCCUCCUUGUGAGACUCAGCUAGGAACCCGCCUUGCACGCUGUUGACUGCAGCCCUGUCUGUGCCAAGCUCCGCGAAAGCCCCAGAGGGCUCCUUUAUUGUCACCGCCGUGCUCUCUGGCCUCCCUUCCCAGGGAUUUUCAUAUUGCGUAAUUGGCCGCUUGUGUUUCUCUCUGUCCACUAACCUCAACUUUCAUCUGUGCGCCUCCAGAGCCAAGUCUGCGCCUGGCCCAUGGUAGGUGAUCAAGAGUGAGUGGCCUACAGUUGAGGCCCUGCGGGAAUUAGGACCCUGGUACCCGAGGUUUUUCCACAUGGCACGUGGCAGGAAUGUGUCAUCGCCAGGAGCUUCAUGGGGGAUUCCAAUCAGGUUUCCAGAAACCGGCAAGGAUGCUUCUAAAGCUUUUUUCUUUCUUUCUUUCUUUCUUUUUUAUAUGAAUGCCAUCUCUCUGCUCCCACCCUGUCGGUCCCUAUUGAGAGACAGAGCCCAGGUUCCAGUAGGAUGAGGUUAGGAGGUGAGCUUGGAUUUUUGAAUCCAUUUAAAUAGUUGCGUGCCUGAAGAUGCCGGAGGACUGCCCAGGGUCUCGGUGAAAUGGUGGCACUCAGUGGGUCCCCCAGUAGAGGUUUGUUGAAUGACUGAUGAAGCACUUUUUUCUGGUUCCAGGUAACUUAAUAGACAGUAUGAGAGAUGUUUAAAAAAGUGACUCAAAAAAAAAAAAAAUAAAAAUAAAAAAGUGACUCAGAUAUAGUUCCUCUUUCAAAGAUCCUACAAUCUAUUGAGAAAAUAAACGUGUUGAUCAGAACUAAAAAGAAAAAGCCAAAAACAUUUGCAGAAAGUUUUCUUAAGUGCAGUUUACAACCCAGCCAAGAACCAGGGAGAACUGAACUUCCGAGUCCUUUCAGAAGCAGAAUAGAACUCCAGAGCGGGCUGGGCCCUCCGAAGCCACUCUGCUCUGUUUCCCUCAGCAACAGUGAAAGGGAGGAGAGAGGAUCUGAGGCAAUCGCUCAGAGGGCCCUGCUGGAGUUUGGGGAGCUUUCUGGGGUGCUCCAGGCAUGGCAGGGUGGCUAGAGGGAAGUGAGAUGCACGGACCUCUAUUUUCCUUCUUUUGCAAGAAAUCACUUUUCAUGGUUGAAAUUUGGAAAACAGAGAAGAACACUUUAGAUUCUGGUGUACGAGAAUUUAAAACCAGAAUUUAAACCCAGCCCUCCUCAUUUCUUCAAAACAACCCACUGGUGGGG